rnacentral:rRNA from 1 species
AUACGGAGGGGGUUAGCGUUGUUCGGAAUUACUGGGCGUAAAGCGCACGUAGGCGGACUGGAAAGUUGGGGGUGAAAUCCCGGGGCUCAACCUCGGAACUGCCUCCAAAACUUCCAAUCUAGAGAUCGAGAGAGGUGAGUGGAAUUCCAAGUGUAGAGGUGAAAUUCGUAGAUAUUUGGAGGAACACCAGUGGCGAAGGCGGCUCACUGGCUCGAUACUGACGCUGAGGUGCGAAAGCGUGGAGAGCAAACAGGAUUAGAUACCCUAGUAGUCC